GAUGAACGCUGGCGGCGUGCCUAAUACAUGCAAGUCGAGCGAACAGACGAGGAGCUUGCUCCUCUGACGUUAGCGGCGGACGGGUGAGUAACACGUGGAUAACCUACCUAUAAGACUGGGAUAACUUCGGGAAACCGGAGCUAAUACCGGAUAAUAUAUUGAACCGCAUGGUUCAAUAGUGAAAGACGGUUUUGCUGUCACUUAUAGAUGGAUCCGCGCCGCAUUAGCUAGUUGGUAAGGUAACGGCUUACCAAGGCAACGAUGCGUAGCCGACCUGAGAGGGUGAUCGGCCACACUGGAACUGAGACACGGUCCAGACUCCUACGGGAGGCAGCAGUAGGGAAUAUUGCGCAAUGGGCGAAAGCCUGACGGAGCAACGCCGCGUGAGUGAUGAAGGUCUUCGGAUCGUAAAACUCUGUUGUUAGGGAAGAACAACUGUGUAAGUAACUAUGCACGUCUUGACGGUACCUAAUCAGAAAGCAACGGCUAACUACGUG
rnacentral:rRNA from 1 species